rnacentral:rRNA from 1 species
GACCAGACUCCUACGGGAGGCAGCAGUGGGGAAUAUUGCACAAUGGGGGGAACCCUGAUGCAGCGACGCCGCGUGAGUGAAGAAGUAUUUCGGUAUGUAAAGCUCUAUCAGCAGGGAAGAAAAUGACGGUACCUGACUAAGAAGCCCCGGCUAACUACGUGCCAGCAGCCGCGGUAAUACGUAGGGGGCAAGCGUUAUCCGGAUUUACUGGGUGUAAAGGGAGCGCAGACGGCUGUGCAAGUCUGGAGUGAAAGGCGGGGGCCCAACCCCCGGACUGCCCUUGGAACUGCAUGGCUGGAGUGCGGGAGGGGCAGGCGGAAUUCCUGGUGUAGCGGUGAAAUGCGUAGAUAUCAGGAGGAACACCGGCGGCGAAGGCGGCCUGCUGGACCGCGACUGACGUUGAGGCUCGAAAGCGUGGGGAGCGAACAGGAUUAGAUACCCUAGUA